GAUGAACGCUAGCUACAGGCUUAACACAUGCAAGUCGAGGGGUAGCAGGGUAGCAAUACCGCUGACGACCGGCGCACGGGUGAGUAACACGUAUCCAACCUUCCCAUAACUCGGGGAUAGCCUUUCGAAAGAAAGAUUAAUACCCGAUAGUACUUGUUCAAGGCAUCUUGAGAAAGUUAAAGAUUUAUUGGUUAUGGAUGGGGAUGCGUUCCAUUAGAUAGUUGGUGAGGUAACGGCUCACCAAGCCUUCGAUGGAGAGGGGUUCUGAGAGGAAGGUCCCCCACAUUGGUACUGAGAAACGGAACAAACUCCUACGGGAGGCAGCAGUGAGGAAGAUUGGUCAAUGGGCGAGAGCCUGAACCAGCCAAGUAGCGUGAAGGAUGAGGGUCCUAUGGAUUGUAAACUUCUUUUAUAGUAGAAUAAAGUGAUCCACGUGUGGAUUUUUGUAUGUAUACUAUGAAUAAGGAUCGGCUAACUCCGUGCCAGCCGCCGCGGUAA
rnacentral:rRNA from 1 species